AAAGGAAACCAACAGGGAUUGCCCCAGUAACGGCGAGUGAAGCGGCAACAGCUCAAAUUUGAAAUCUGGCCCCCAGGGCCCGAGUUGUAAUUUGCAGAGGAUGCUUUUGGCGCGGCGCCUUCCGAGUUCCCUGGAACGGGACGCCAUAGAGGGUGAGAGCCCCGUCUGGUCGGACGCCAAGCCAGUGUAAAGCUCCUUYGACGAGUCGAGUAGUUUGGGAAUGCUGCUCUAAAUGGGAGGUAUAUGUCUUCUAAAGCUAAAUAUAGGCCAGAGACCGAUAGCGCACAAGUAGAGUGAUCGAAAGAUGAAAAGCACUUUGAAAAGAGGGUUAAACAGUACGUGAAAUUGUUGAAAGGGAAGCACUUGUGACCAGACUUGGGCCCGGUGAAUCAUCCAGCGUUCUCGCUGGUGCACUUCGCCGGGCCCAGGCCAGCAUCAGUUCGCCGCGGGGGAUAAAAGCUUCGGGAACGUAGCUCCCUCGGGAGUGUUAUAGCCCGUUGCAUAAUACCC
rnacentral:rRNA from 1 species